AUGGCAGCAGCUGAGGUGGUGAACAGCAUCAGGGAGGUUUCCUGUGGUCAACCAGAAAGCCGUGAGAAGCCCAAUGCUGAGGCCAUGACGUCCAAAGACCACUACUUUGAGUCCUAUGCCCACUUUGGCAUCCAUGAGGAGAUGCAGAAGGAUGAGGUGCCCACCGUUACAUACAGCAACUCCAUCUUUCACAAUCAGCACCUCUUCAACGACAGGAUAGUCUGGACCUGGGCUCAGGCACCGGCAUCCUCUGCAUGUUUGCAGCCAAGGCAGAAGCCCGCAAGGUCAUUCAUUCAUUCUCAACAUUCAUUGAGACUGAAUGUUCAAGAAUCUCUCAUUAUGCUGUGAAGAUUGUCAAAGCCAAUAAGCUAGAUCACAUGGUGACCAUCAUCAAGGCAAGGUGGAGAAGGUGGAACUGCCCAUGGAGAAAGUGAACAUCAUCAUCAGAGAGUGGAUGGGUUAUUGUCUCUUCUACAAGUUCAUGCUCAAGACUGUGCUGUAUGCCCAUGACAAGUGGCUGGCACCUAAUAGCCUCAUCUUUCCAGUCCGGGCCACCCUUUAUGUGACAGUCAUUGAGGACCGAUAGUACAAAGACUACAUGAUCCAUUAAUAGGAGAAUGUAUAUGGUUUCGAUAGGUCCUGCAUCAAAGACGUGGCCAUCAAGGAGCCCUUGGUGGACGUGGUGGACCUGAAGCAGCUGGUCACUAAUGCCUGCCUCAUAAAGGAGUUGGCCAUUUAUACAGUCAUGGUAGAGGACCUGACCUUCACCUCUCCCUUCUGCCUACAAGUGAAGAGAAAUGACUAUGUGCAUGCAUUGGUGGCCUCCUUUAACACCGAGUUCACCCAAUGCCACAAGAAGAAUGGCUUUUCUAUUGGUCCUGAGUCCCCAUAUACACACUGGAAGCAGACUGUGUUUUACAUGGAGGAUUACCUAACAGUGAAGACUGGCGAGGAGAUCUUUGGCAUCCCCCAAUGCAAAAAAUAAUCGUGACUUGGACUUUACCAUCGACCUGGACUUCAAGGGCCAGCUAUGUGAGCUCUCUUGCUCCACCGUCUACCAGAUGCUCUGAGGUGGUGCCAGGCUGGCCCUCCUGCAAAAGGGGGCUUAGGGACUGGGAUUAUGGGAUGGGAGGGUACAUCAUGACUGUGUUUUCCAUAACUUAUGUUUUUAUAUGGUUGUAU